GAUGUUCAAGAGUUGGGAUUGCUUCCCCAUUCAACGGCUGGCUGAGACCUGUUCUUGAGAUCUUAUGGAUCAGGGGUGACGGCGCUCACCUAUAUAAGGCAAACCCUUGCCUCUUCCUUUUAUUUGGUAAAUUUUCCUCAAGCUUCUGUUUUUCCGGCGAUCUUCUAUUCAUUAUUUGCAUAGACUUUCCGCUUCUUUUCUUUUGGUUUAUAUUCCCUUUAUGUACAGUCCCGGCAUUCUGGGAAUACCAAGUAAAGACAGGCAAGAAGGCUACCGUUGAUACUCUCAUAGUCAAGUCAAUUGUCAAUAUAAAUUAUAUGGUGUAAUGGAUGUGGGACAGACACACAAGUAGAUAUUUAG
rnacentral:lncRNA from 1 species